UUUCCGUAGGUGAACCUGCGGAAGGAUCUUUCAUAAUAAGUGUUUUAUGGCACUUUUUUAAAUCCAUAUCCACCUUGUGUGCAAUGUCAGGGUUGAUUUUUCUCUCGAGAGGAUCAACCCCAAACAUCAACUAUAUCUCAACUCUUUGUCUGAAAAAUAUUAUGAAUAAAACAAUUCAAAAUACAACUUUCAACAACGGAUCUCUUGGCUCUC
rnacentral:misc_RNA from 1 species